rnacentral:ncRNA from 1 species
GGGUUGUGGUUAGCACUCUCCUUGAUAAGAAUGGAAGAGGUCCUAGUGGCCCUUAUACCACACAUACAGUUAAGGCAUUGCCACCUACUCUGUGACAUCUAACCUUUUGU